AGCUCCGAGAUGGAAGAGGAAGUGGUUUGGUCGUCGGCAGACGUCGAAUGCUGGUGUUCCAAAGCAUUUAACGGCAUCCUCAUUUGAGUGUCGGGCGCAGCAGGGUAAACAAUAGGUGAGGGGGUUUCGUUUUAAGUUUCUUCUGUCAGUUAUUUGCCGAAUGUUUGUGCAUGCUCGGAAGUGGGAGACAGACUGCUAGUCUUUGUCCUAUCCAACAGUAGUGACUCAAGGCUAACCUUGCCCAUCCGUGUGUAUGGUGAUCGUCCUGCCUCACGGCGGAACAACGAUCCCUUCUCUCUUCUGCUAGGGGAAUGAACAUAAAAGCUCACAGGCAGGUCACAGGGUGUCGGCCGAUCAAAAUCGUGGAAGCCCAAGCUGACAGAAGCGACGGCGAUGGCCAAGAAAAAAAACGCUCGAGCAAACCAGGGGCAGAGUGCGUAGGGUGGACAAACCAGAGAGGACAGGGAUAAGCACGAGUACUGCCCAAUGGCAGCGAUGGUGAAGUAGGGGAACGGGAGCUGGAGGCAGCCAUAGUCAGGGGGCAGGGAAGAUCGUGUAAUGGAAGGCACACAAGGAAAACAGGGGCACAACUGGUGGUCCCAGUAGCGACCAACCCAAGCGGGGUCCAGCAGCCACAGCAGCGAGGAACGGCCGUGGUGGCUGCUGUGGUGACAAGGAGAAGGAACUGGCAGACAACAACGAGAGAAAAACGGUGGGAAAAAAGAAGGCAACCCUGAGCCCAAGAAGGGAUGAACAGAAAUCGAGACCUAAAGAUCGCCGAGGCCGGGCGACGACUGCUGGGAACCGGCGGGCAGCAGCCAAUAGUGGUUAUGGAUAGAGAUGUAAAUAUGAUAUGGGAACUUAUCCAGGACCAAAGUGCAAUUAGAAAAUUUUAUUUUUUUUUUAAGGUGGGGACGGGGCCCCCUCCCUCCGCCUAUGAUGGGGACAUAACUAUGAAUCCGGCAAUCGCUACAAGGAAGUCGACCGUUGCUACAGGAAGGGGAGAGUCCAUGGCUUCAAGUGAAAGGCAUGAGUGGGUGAUCGCCAUGGUUCAGCAGGUAGUGAAGAUCCUCUGGACAACGAAGAAUAUGACGGCCAACCUGAUCACGGUCCAUUCCAUCUUCGGUAACGGCUAUCCAGCAUAAGGGACCUCCUUGCACGCAGCGACAUUGGCAAGAUGGAGGAGCGCCUAAAAAUGAUUGAGGCGAAGAUUAGGUACUGAGACUUGAACUCCUUGGCAGGGUGCCACUCCUCCCUCACGAGUGAUGUCCGUGGCCUUGGGUUUCCUAGGCGCCAUUGACUAGGUGGCUUGAUUAACGAAGAACUUGUAAUAGCUAUCUCUUAUGAGUGAAACCGAGCUCGAGCUCCCUUUUGUGGACACUGCUGAAGAUGAGAUAGCAUGACAUGAUUCAACAUCAAUUCAACUAACAAAAUACCAAGUAUUAUUGCAAUGGUGGCACGUGGAGACUUAGGAGCAGAACUUUCAAUCGAGGAGGUCCCUCUACUACAGGUAGACUGUAAGGUUUGUUAUCUAAUAAAGGCAAGGUAUGAACUGAACGAUUUUCCAUAUUGUAGACAAUUUUUUUUGGGAUAGAGAUCCAUUCCUUUGGAGAUGUCUAUUGGCUGCAAACAUAGUUAUGUCAACUUGUACAAAAUGCUCUAUAUAUGAAAAUUUGAAAGCUUGUCAAAGGCAUAUUCAAUUGUAAGAAAUGGUGAUUGACUCAUGUUCAUAGUAGAAACUUGUGUUUCAGUGAAGCAUACAUUAUACAUAUUUAUGAGAUCGCAACGUUAAUAAAAUGGUUCUAGUGGAGAUUGCAACUUGUUUCUCUUAAAUUGCUGCUUUUUUACCUUCAUUAUUAGGUUGAUGUUGCUUCUUCAUCAGAGGACCAGAGCUGUUUUGAAGCUGUUAUUCGAUGCCUCGCAGCUAAUAACAUAAAGCAAAUUUCUUGUUAGCUACAAGUGUUGAGAGGUUUCUUCUUUUGAUGUAAUGCAGAGAGCUUUUCGAGAGAAUAUGGAUAGGAGAUUCAGUGAGUAUAAGGGUGAACUUUGAGAGUGGGAGGGUUGCAAGACUAUGAAAUGCAUGCAACAGGUGAUGAAUGACAGAAUGACGCUACGAGAUAUGGGUAUUUGGUGAACUUCUGCAUGAGAGGGUUCUCAAGGACGAGUGUAUGACAAAGGUUAACAAUUAGUAGUGAGAGGCCAAAAAAGUGCCGUUCAAAAGAUCAUGUGUUGGAUGACUACUAGAGAAAGGCAGGACGCUCAAAUUAAGGGUUUCUAUCCCAAAACAUCUUUAAACAGAAGAUUGGGAAGGCCUCCUUUUUGAUGCUUCCACUACUUUUCUUCAUAAUAGCACAAGGUAAACCUUGUCAAAGUUUUGUUGUGAAACAGAUGAUCUGAAAAGGAUAAAGAUUAAUGGAGAAUCGAGUGAAUGGGGCAUCAUUUUGCAAACACAUAGUGUUGCAUCAUGUUUUAUAAUUUAAUUGCAGCAUUAUGGCACAUCGUGUGGAAAGGCUGAGAGUGGAUGCAUACCAUCUAGUUGAACUUCAUUGGCACAAGAGUGGAAACCAAGAGUGUUCAUUAGUGAGGAAUGGUAAAUUAAAAUUGAUAUUGU